rnacentral:lncRNA from 1 species
AGGAUCCCAAGUUUGAGGCUAGCUUUGCCUCCAUGAGAAGACCCUGCCUCAAAAGAAACACCCUUCUCCUGUAGCUCCCUUAGCGAUAUAUUCUUAAAAGUCAAAAGUCUUAAAAAUACCAUAGAUUUUAAUUUUUUUUAAAUAUCCAUUUUUUCUUAGAUUUAUUUAUUUUAUGUGAGUACACUGUAGCUGUCUUCAGACACACCAGAAGAGGGCAUUGGAUCCCAUUACAGAUAGUUGUGAGUCACCAUGUGGUUGCUGGGAAUUAAACUCAGGACCUCUGGAAGAGCAGCCAGUGCUCUUAACCUCUGAGCCAUUUCUCCAGCCCAAUCACAUAAGAUUUUUAAAUACUUGUAUUUAUUAUCACAUUGCAGUUUUAAGAUUAACAAUUAAGAUUUUAAGUUUGUAUUCCAGGUCGAGCCCACCCUGAUCUACAGAGCAAGUUCCAGGAUGGCCAGGGAUACACAGAGAACCCUGUCUUGAAAAUAAACCAAAGGUAGAGGAUGUUUGUAUUAGUUCUGUUUAGGGAAUCCUCCUGGCUCAGUGCUUAUCAGCUGCACAACUACCAUGGAAGACUUCUCAAACUGUGCUCCUGACAGUGGUGAGCCAGGCAUCUCACACUUUCUGUGACUGGGCAAAGGCACUAUUAUACAGUGUAUGUACAAUAGUACUACAGCACAGUGACAGGACCUCAUGUGAGAGCUUACACGACUACCAUGAAAAUAUCUGAAGGGAGUGGAAAACAGUCACUAACUGAGAUAAAUGCUAUAUUUACCAACUAAUAGGCGGAUAGGUUUAUUUUCAUCUUGCAAGCUUGCAUACUUAUAAAAAUGUUUUGUAAAAAGUUUAAGAUCAUACAAAGUUUAUAAAUACUGUAAACAUACACAGUAAAUCAUCAAGUAUGUGUGUAGCAACUAAUCAGUAACCGUCAUGAUUACAGUCUGUAAUGCACGAGCCUACCAGUGGCAGGCGCACUCUUGUCUGGUAAAAGAGCUAGUGUCUGCAUUUCAACACUCCAUGCUCAACACCCGUAACUUCUGAACUUCAUCAGCUGGCUCUACAUUCUUAAUCAGUGAGGAAAGCAUUCUGGACUACAGAUACUGGCUUGCAGACUUCAGAGUACACUGGGACAGACUUGAAGCUUGCUGCAGACCCCAAACUUGAUUCAUACCUUGUUGAGAAUCUACACCUUACAAAUCUUUACAAGUUUAAAAAUAAUGUUGACAAUCCCGGGAGCAAACCCAGAGAACCAAGCUGUAGCUGGCUAAUUAUGUGCUCCAAGUAACUGUGUAACCUAGGUUAGCAGACCUCAAUUCUAGAUACUACUUUUUCAUGUACUAUUCACCCAGUCCCACUUGGUUGCCUGUACCAUUUGGGGGACUAAAAAUCAGCAAUAAAAGCAAAAGGUAGUCACAUGGA